rnacentral:rRNA from 1 species
AUGGACAGUGAUGAUCAGAACUCAGGGGUGACGAUGGAAUGCAUGACCGGCGGCGACAACGGCACAACUGAACGAUUUUAUGGAAGGGUCGAGGAGAUCUGGGAGCUUCACUACUCUGGACUGCACAACACGACGAUGUUUCGUGUCAGAUGGGCUAAGAAUGUCGAAAGAGAAAGCCGGAUGUUCACUACCAUGACUAUACCCGACGCCAAGAGCGCUACCGUGAACGCUAUCGCAAAAAAUGAGCCAUGGGUACACGCUAAGCACGUGACACAAUGCUUCUUCAUAACUGACCCGCGCAAUCCCAGCCGUGUUGUCUUGAGGAGAGGCAAAAGGAACAUCAUUGGAAUGGAUGGAGUCGCCAACGAGGAAGACUAUGAUCAGUACGGCAACCCAAUGAGGGAAGAUGACGAUGAUGAUGAAGUAUACGUCAAAAGAAGAAUCAAUACUACAUUACCUAAGAAAAAUUGUACUCCAUGGAAAAGGCAAAGUCACAAUGAGGGGCUCAAUUAUUCUUCGACGAACAAGAAGGGAAAGAAGCUGACUCAAAAACGAAAACGUCAGCACUGA